rnacentral:rRNA from 1 species
CGUUGUGGACCCACCUGAUUCCAUGCCGAACUCAGAAGUGAAACGCAAUAGCGCCGAUGGUAGUGUGGGGUUUCCCCAUGUGAGAGUAGGACAUCGCCAGGC